rnacentral:lncRNA from 1 species
AUGACUUCUUGUUUAUGGCCUGGGCCUCUUCAAGCGUUGGAGAUAGGCCCAGGCCAACAUCACUUCUUCAUUAGGCCCAGGCCUCUUCAAGGGUCAGGGAUAGGCCCAGGCCCACAUCACUUCUUGCUUUUGGCCUGGGCCUCUUCAAGGGUUGGGAUAGGCCCAGGCCCACAUCACUUCUUAUUAGGCCCAGGCUUCUUCAAGGUUGGGAAUAUGCGCAGGCCCACGUCGCUUCUGGCCUUUGGCCCAGGCCCAUAUCACUUCUUCAUUAGGCCUGGGCCUCUUCAAGGGUCAGGGAUAGGCCCAGGCCCACAUCACUUCUUGCUUUUGGCCCAGGCCUCUUCAAGGGUUGGGGAUAGGCCCAGGCACACAUCACUUCUUCAUUGGGAAUAGGCCCAGGUCCACAUAACUUCUUGCUUUUGGCCUGGGCCUCUUCAAGGGUUGGGGAUAGGCCAAGGCACACAUCACUUCUUCAUUAGGCCUAGGCCUCUUCAAUGGUUCAGGAUUGGCCCAGGCCCAAAAUACUUCAUUAGGCCCAGGCCUCUUCAAGGGACAGGGAAAGGCCCAGGCCCACAUCAAUUCUUGUUUGUGGCCUGGGCCUCUUCAAAGGUUGGGGAUAGGCCCAGGCCCACAUCACUUCUUCAUUAGGCCCAGGCCUCUUCAAGGGUAAGGGAUACGCCCAGGCCCACGUCACUUCUUCAUUAGGCCCAGGCCUCUUCAAGGGUCAGGGAUAGGCCCAGGCCCAUAUCGCUUCUUGCAUUAGGCCCGGGCCUCUUCCAGGGUCAGGGAUAGGCCUAGGCCCACAUCUAUACUUCUUUUGCACCUGACCUCCUUCAAGUUCAGUUUGCCCAAGCACAUACUUUUUUUCUGGUUUGUUUGACCAGCCCUGUUUCUUUUCAUUCCUACUUAUCUAGGUCCAGAAAUCUUCAGGAUCAGGGUAUCUGAUUCUAUUUAGGAUUUAAAUAGAGUAUACUUUUGAGUUCAUAGUUUUCCAAAGCUACUUUGUUGUUAGCCUUGAUUUAUGAUCAAUAUUCCUGGGGAUGAAAGACAGAUAUUGAUAGACAUAUUUAGUAUCCUUCUCUGGCAUCUCAAAUGUACUCAGAUCAUCAUUGACCUAUCCUCUAGGAAACAUGCUCAGACAUUGACACAUAUAGCUUACAGUCCAGGUAGAACAAAUUAUACAUUAUACAAAUAGAAAUAUUAAUAAAAGGCUGGCUGGGCAAGCCCA